AGCAAAGGCGCAAAAGAAAACGCGGAGACGAGACUUACCUCUGGAAAAAUUGACAACAAUACCCAUACCGUGCUCCUACUUCUUAGGGAGAGCUGGAGCCGGAAACCCCGAACAACUGUUAACAAUGGAUAACUUGGCUCUC
rnacentral:misc_RNA from 1 species